GAUGAAGAACGUAGCGAAAUGCGAUAAGUAAUGUGAAUUGCAGAAUUCAGUGAAUCAUCGAAUCUUUGAACGCACAUUGCGCCCGCCAGCAUUCUGGCGGGCAUGCCUGUUCGAGCGUCAUUUCAACCCUCGACUUCCCUUUGGGGAAAUCGGCGUUGGGGACCGGCUGUAUACCGCCGGCCCCGAAAUGAAGUGGCGGCCCGUCCGCGGCGACCUCUGCGUAGUAAUCCAACUCGCACCGGAACCCCGACGUGGCCACGCCGUAAAACCCCCGACUUCUGAACGUUGACCUCGGAUCAGGUAGGAAUACCCGCUGAACUUACGCAUAUCAAUAAGCGGAGUA
rnacentral:misc_RNA from 1 species